UACGUAGGUGGCGAGCGUUAUCCGGAUUUACUGGGCGUAAAGCGCUUGUAGGCGGCUUCGUAAGUUGGGCGUGAAAGCUCCGGGCUUAACCAGGAGAGGCCGUCCAAUACUGCGGAGCUCGAGGGUGGCAGAGGAAGGUGGAAUUCCUGGUGUAGCGGUGAAAUGCGUAGAUAUCAGGAGGAACACCCGUGGCGAAGGCGGCUUUCUGGGGCAUUCCUGACGCUGAGGCGCGAAAGCUAGGGGAGCAAACCGG
rnacentral:rRNA from 1 species